ACAUCCCAAAAUCAGCUAAGACUUCGAGCCUAAGGAGGCAACUAACCCGCAAGAAUCCCAUUUCCAAAUUUUCCAAUUUUCCAUUUUUCGUUUUCUCAUAUAAACCAUUCCCGCAAAAUUCCCCACAGGCCAGGGGGAGAGAGAGAGAAUCCGUUUUCUCUCGAUCUCCAUUUUCUCUGCUUUCAAUUUUCACGGCUUUUCUAAUGAAAUCAGAGCUGCUUCAGAUGCAGGCAAUAUUUUGAUUCGUAAGGCCUCACUUUUGGCAAUAUUGGUUAAAAUAAGAACAAUAUUUGCUUUUUGGGAGUCCGGGUACCUGUGAUGAGAGUUCUGCUCGUUACUGGGCUAUAUUUAGACGAUAUCGAAACAGCCGAAUACACGAAAAUCUUGGAGCAGAAAGUCCAAGCGCCCUCGUCUCAAUUUGGUGUGGAUGGUUGUAAUACAGAUAAUCUGCACAUGGAGUCGGUGAGGAUUCUUCCAGAGGCCACAAAUAGUUCCUGAAAGAGAAUCUGAAAUUUUCACUCUCCAAGUCUUGUUGAGACAAAGGUUAGAGAUGGGGGCCGCUGAUGAGGAGCCGAUAAAGGGGUCCAGUGGUGAUGAGGAAAAAACUAUUGUUUCAGUCCGCCUGAGGCCUUUGAAUGAGAAGGAAACUGCAAGAAAUGAUGUAUCAGAUUGGGAAUGCAUCAACAAUAACACUGUCAUAUACAGGAACAAUCUUUCAGUUCCUGAGAGUUCCUUGUGCCCAACUGUCUAUACAUUUGAUAGAGUAUUUAGCCCUGAAUCCUCCACGAGGCAGGUGUAUGAGGAAGGAGCUAAGGAGGUUGUAGAUAGAGUAUUUUUCAGGAAAACGCUCUAGUUUUAUAUAAAUAAACAGUCCCUUAGCUAUUCUUAACAGCUGAGGAGCAUAUCUGAGAGACAGAUAAGAGAGUGAUAGAGGGUAAUGGGAUUUGUUCUCCAUUAACCAUGUACCAGGACAAACAUUCUAUUAAAAUACCAUAAAGCCAACACAUGGCUUUUCAAUUUCUGUCAAAGUGAAAAUAUGAUUGCCUUUACUGUUUAUUUAAGAGAAUCCCAACAUUUAGCUUUGUGUUUAUACUCCUUUGGGCAUUGCCUUCUAUUCUAUCUUUUAGAAAUGCAUCAUUCGUUCAAAUAAAUAAUUAUGAAUAUCGUUCGAAUAAAAUUUCUAUCAAGCACUGAAGAUAGCAAAAAACAACAGAAUAUAUUUUUCAACAAAAAUAAGAACAGACUUAAAAGAAAAAAAGAAAUGGAAUCAAAAUUCAAUGGAUUAUCUGCGUACCUUUACAUUAAAUUUAUGUCUAGUAAAAAUUAGAUCUAAAGUUAUAUCAAAAUUCAGUAUUAUUAGAGAAUAUUCUAAUAAAAACAGCGAAGAAAAACUACCUGAUCAUUCAACGCUUUUAUUUUAUUUUAUUAUUUA